rnacentral:rRNA from 1 species
UACGUAGGUUGCGAGCGUUAUUCGGAUUUACUGGGCGUAAAGCGCACCGAGGUGGCUUCUUAAGUUGGAUGUAAAAUCUCCCGGCUUAACUGGGAGGCGCCAGUCAAUACUGAGGAGCUUGAGGUCAGCAGGGGAAAGUGGAAUUCCCGGUGUAGUGGUGGAAUGCGUAGAGAUCGGGAGGAACACCAGUGGCGAAAGCGACUUUCUGGGCUGCACCUGACACUCUAGUGCGAAAGCGUGGGGAGCAAACAGG